GCAUGAAAACUACUAGGUUUCUUCCCAGCUUAAAGAGCAACUUUAAAGGAUGCUAGAUGGAGUCUCACUCUGUCACCCAAGCUAGAGUGCAGUGGUGUGAUCAUAGCACUGGAGCCUAGAACUCCUGACUGAAGCAAUCAAUCCUCCCACCUCAGCUUCCUGAGUAGCUGAGACUAUAGGUAGUGUGCCAGUAUUUGAAAAAUCCCAAUGUAUCUGAUUCACUGCUGCUGCAGAAUAUUUUCCAAGCUCUGAAUGUAUAUUACAAUUAUUCGGGCCAGGUGAAAUGCCUGAAUAUUUCAGAGACAGCAACUAGCAGUCUGGGAACACUGGGUUGGAGCUAUCAGGCCUGCACAGAAGUAGUCAUGCCCUUUUGUACUAAUGGUGUCGAUGACAUGUUUGAACCUCACUCAUGGAACUUAAAGGAACUUUCUGAUGACUGUUUUCAACAGUGGGGUGUGAGACCAAGGCCCUCCUGGAUCACUACUAUGUAUGGAGGCAAAAACAUUAGUUCACACACAAACAUUGUUUUCAGCAAUGGUGAACUAGACCCCUGGUCAGGAGGUGGAGUAACUAAGGAUAUCACAGACACUCUGGUUGCAGUCACCAUCUCAGAGGGGGCCCACCACUUAGAUCUCCGCACCAAGAAUGCCUUAGAUCCUACGUCUGUGCU
rnacentral:sRNA from 1 species